UCUCUUUUGUCUACUAUUGGUACAGAUUCUAUGGUUUUUCUUUUUCAUUUCUUCAUUCUUUUCUCUCUUCCUCUCUCUCAACAAUAAACCUAUCCAGAAAUUCUAGAACCAAUCACCAUUUUUGUCGCACCAAAACCAAAAAAACCGAGAAUCCCACAAACACCUUCCAAGAUUCAUAUACUUUACCCAGAAACUAUCAAGAUCCUCAUACAAAAAUUCCAGAUCUUCAUCCUAUUUCCAGAUGUUUAUCGCAACCAACCCAGAUUAUUGUCUGUAUUAUUGUUAUUAACUUCUCUAAAUCUAUAAUGAAUAUUAUACAUGUUUUUUCCAGGAGUAUUCUAUGAUAGCUAGAGAUUUGGGUCGUAUACUUCAAAAUUCAAAUCUAAGGUGCACCAUAUUUUCCUCUCCAUCUUUUAAUUUAAAAUUAGUUUGAGUUAUAUAUAAUCUUCGUAUUUUAUAUGCAAAUAUAAAAAAUGUAUUUUUAGUAAACUCUUCAACUGUGAAAGGUCUCAAUUUGAUGGUGAGAUACAUGAAGUAAAUAGUACCCAUGCUGAAUUGACUAAUGUUUGUAGUACAAUUUAUCUGCCGACUGCCAUGGCAUACUAUAACUUCAUUGAUAAUCAUGGUUUACACCAUAAAUAUGUAUUUUCAAGAACUCCAAUCAGUUCAGGGACAACUGUGGCUGAGAGAUGAAGAUUCUGUAUCCUAGAGAUAAGCUUUGAAAUGGAAGUGGUUGAAAAAGUGGCAACAAAUUUUGAAAAUGAGGAGAGGAACUGGAAGAUGUACUCUCAUUCAUUCGCUUUGAGUAUCCAUAACCACUUCACCAUGAAUCUAUGGAUGCUGCUUUCAUCCUUUCUAGUGUCACUGACAAUGACCAUGCAAGUAUAAAAUAGAGAUUGAGGUUGAGCAUAAAAACAAGGUUGGUCGCUUUGUCUUAUAGGACAAGGAAUGUAUACAGUUUAUUGGUAUACCAGCUCAUGAUUUAAGGCAGAUUAUGAAGCUUUGCAAACCACUCUCAACUCCACUUUCUUCAUCAUACCAGCACACACAUCAUCAUACCAAGUCCAAUAUGCUUAAUGACACAACUAAUUUCUUGAGGUAUGUAUAUGAUGGAAGCGGUAUUUCUUUAUAAAUGAUUUGUUCAUAUACAAUAACUUCUUGAUAACAGUGGUUUAUCAAUACUGAAAUGGUCAUUGACACAAAUAAUUUCUUGAGGUAUAUGAGUAAUACAUGUGUUUGUAUGUAUAUAUAAAUUCAUUCGUUUACUAUGUCACCAACUACUCUAGAUGAAUUGAAAUUUAAAUAAUAUAGUGAAAUGGUCAUUGACAUUUUCAAUAAAGCCACGUUAGUUUUACCUAAUACAUUAGGAUUCUUCUCAAAGAUAUAAAACUAUUGAACGAAUUUGCAAGGCAAUUGCACACUAUCUAAAAAUGCUACUGCUUCCUAUUAGUUAUGUAAUUAUCUCAAUGCAUGUGUAAAAUUUGUGAAUAAAUGAAUUCUAAUGAUAGCGAGAAUAUAAUUUUAGUGCUAAGGAAGACAAGGUUAGUGAGCUAAAAACUAUAAACAAUACUUAAGUUUUAUUCAUAACUAUUUUUUUACUAGCUCAAUUGUUUCACUCUCAUGCUUGGGAUGAUGAUUUUAACAAACUUUGCAUACAUGUUCCAAUAUAUUUGGGCAAACUUUCAUUUCCUCUUUCACCAAGUAAAAAAAAUAGCAAUACUUUUAAAAUACUCAUUUAUUUGAUUUUAUUAUUUUGUACUUAAUAGGAGCUUAUUAUCUAUAUUUUUUAACUUAGAUAAUUUAUUUAUUUAUUUCACGGGUCACUAUCAACCUAAUAUCUAUUUUAAUUUUAUCAAUCAUUAUCUAACCUAUUGGCCAUGUUAUCCUCUAUUGUUGUUGGACCGUCAAUUAUUUAAUUUAAUACUUGGUUCUAUUUUGCAUUUGUGUUCUUGACGUAUCUUAAACUUUUUUUAUGGAUCAUUAUUUUAAGUUCAAAUCUAAUUUUCAUACUAAUAAUAUCUAAUUAGUAAAACUUUUUUUAAAUGGUUAAUUUAUAUUUUAUAUAUGCAAUUUGUCAAAUUUCAUUACUUCACAUUUUUCGUAUCGUUCAAAAAAUACUACACAACAAAUAAUGCACCCGGGCGACAGCACGGGUCUCUGACUAGUAUAUAUAUAUAUAUAUAUAAACAAUCAAUUAACCUUUCCGAUCAAAUCUUUAUUGAAAGACGUUUUUCCUACACUAUGUUUGGAACACUAGAAUGUAAAAGGAUGGAUACUUCAGAGAUAAAGAGCACAAAAAUCAAGAAACCUUCCUCAAUUUGUUUCAGUAAAAUGAUAAGAGAGGAAAGAAAAUUUUGUGAGACCUACUUAAAAAAAAAAUCUUCAAAAAAUGAAUGGAAAGUUGAAAACAAUCAUCAUUUUUGCUUUAUUUCAUUUUUAUCCACAAACAUACAUUUCACCAAACAAAUUGUUAAAGUAAUUUUAUUUAAUUAAAAAUAAGGUCAUGUUUGUCAUUUUAAAUAGACAUGUCUUUCUUUCUUUUCACUUUUUAUUUAUUUUCACUCAUAACAACUAAUAAAUUUUUUUUUUACUUUCUACUCACUUUCAUUCUUCUAACAUUCUUUUCUUUUAUUUUCAUUCCUUUCACUUUCUUUUCUUAUCCAAACAAAGUCUUAGCGCGUAAACACUUACAACUCAUAUGAUCUUCCAAAAUAUGAUUAAUGUUCAUGUUGCAUGUCUUAGCCUCAUUCUACUAAAUGUAUUGAGCCUUCUCUUGUUGAUCAUAAUAAGGCUCUUCCUCCCCAUUCAUAAACGCAGUAGACAUAAACAAGAUCUAAAUCUAGAUCAUAUUGCAUCAACUUGUCUUUCUCGUACUAAGGUUUCACUGAGACAUGUGUUCUAGUUGCAUCAUCACAUGUUGCAGAGUAACACCUUUCUGAGAUUCACGAUAUUCUAUGUAUGUAGACAUUUGUGGCCUAACUAUAACAUGAAUGUGAUCGAGAGAAAGAAUCCUAACACAAUGGUCUGUGCCCUUUACUUUUAACUACAGUAAAAAAUAUUAAAAUUAAAGAAAAAUCCAAAAGUUUUCAUAUUUAGAAGUCUUUGUUUAAAAAAUCAAGUUAAAAUUAUUAAAAAGGAAAAAAAAUUAUUUGGUUAUUCAAAUCAAAUUUUGAAAAUUUUGAAAAUUUCUAGAUCUAAAAGUAUUAAUAGGGGAUACAUCUAGUGUGUGAAUAGGUUAUGCCGAGCAAAUCUUUGCUAAAUUUGACUAUGGUCUACUAAAAGAUUCAAAGCCUAAGUUAGUGUCUAGUUAAGGAUAAACUUAUUUUUAGGUCUGAAUUUGAUAUUUUCGAAGGUCCAAUUAAGUCUAUUUGUAUACUUAAGAGUCUAUUUUAAUUGAACAUUUGUA